rnacentral:rRNA from 1 species
UACGAAGGGGGCUAGCGUUGUUCGGAAUUAUUGGGCGUAAAGGGUGCGUAGGCGGUUUGAUAAGUCUUAUGUGAAAUCUAUGGGCUCAACUCAUAGACUGCAUGAGAAACUGCCGGGCUUGAGUAUGGGAGAGGUGAGUGGAAUUCCUGGUGUAGCGGUGAAAUGCGUAGAUAUCAGGAGGAACACCUGUGGCGAAAGCGGCUCACUGGACCAUAAACUGACGCUGAUGCACGAAAGCUAGGGGGAGCAAAACAGG